GAUGAACGCUGACAGAAUGCUUAACACAUGCAAGUCUACUUGAACUUCGGUUUGGGUGGCGGACGGGUGAGUAACGCGUAAAGAACUUGCCUCACAGUUAGGGACAACAUUUGGAAACGAAUGCUAAUACCUGAUAUUAUGAUUUUAGGGCAUCCUAAGAUUAUGAAAGCUAUAUGCGCUGUGAGAGAGCUUUGCGUCCCAUUAGCUAGUUGGAGAGGUAACGGCUCACCAAGGCGAUGAUGGGUAGCCGGCCUGAGAGGGUGAACGGCCACAAGGGGACUGAGACACGGCCCUUACUCCUACGGGAGGCAGCAGUGGGGAAUAUUGGACAAUGGACCAAAAGUCUGAUCCAGCAAUUCUGUGUGCACGAUGACGUUUUUCGGAAUGUAAAGUGCUUUCAGUUGGGAAGAAAAAAAUGACGGUACCAACAGAAGAAGUGACGGCUAAAUACGUGCCAGCAGCCGCGGUAAUACGUAUGUCACAAGCGUUAUCCGGAUUUAUUGGGCGUAAAGCGCGUCUAGGUGGUUAUGUAAGUCUGAUGUGAAAAUGCAGGGCUCAACUCUGUAUUGCGUUGGAAACUGCAUGACUAGAGUACCGGAGAGGUAAGCGGAACUACAAGUGUAGAGGUGAAAUUUGUAGAUAUUUGUAGGAAUGCCGAUGGGGAAGCCAGCUUACUGGACAGAUACUGACGCUAAAGCGCGAAAGCGUGGGUAGCAAACAGG
rnacentral:rRNA from 1 species